GCCUAAAGCGUCCGUAGCCGGACCGAUAAGUUCUUUGUGAAAUCAUGUAGCUCAACUAUAUGGCAUGCGAAGAAUACUGUCAGUCUAGAAACCGGGAAGAGUAAGAGGUAUUCUGGGGGGAGCGGUAAAAUGUUAUAAUCCUCAGAGGACCACCUAUGGCGAAGGCAUCUUACUGGAACGGAUUUGACGGUGAGGAACGAAAGCUAGGGGAGCGAUCCGGAUUAGAUACCCGAGUAGUCCUAGCCGUAAACGCUGUGAGCAAGGCGUUGCAAAUUUUACGUGAAUUUGCAGUGUCGAAGAGAAGUCGAUAAGCUCACCGCCUGGGAAGUACGGUCGCAAGACUGAAACUUAAAGGAAUUGGCGGGGGAGCGCUACAAGAGGUGGAAUGUGCGGUUUAAUCUAACUCAACGCAGAGAACCUCACCAGAAGCGACGGCAGUAUGAAAGUCAGAUUGAAGGUCUUACUUAACGAGCCGAGAGGUAGUGCAUGGCCGCCGUCAGCUCGUGCCGCAAGGUGUCCAGUUAAGUCUGGCAACGAGCAAGACCUGCAUCUACAGUUGCCACCGACUUCUUUAGAAGGAUCGAGCACACUGUAGAGACUGCCUUGGAAACAAGGAGGAAGGUGCAGGCAACGGUAGGUCAGUAUGCCCCGAA
rnacentral:rRNA from 1 species